CCGCGCGGCGCUGGCCGCUUCGCUGCAGCCGGGGCUUCGGCGGGGCUGCGGGAGCCGCGCUGGCCGGGCCGCGGCUCCGCCUGUCCUCACCUGCCCGCCCGCCUCACCGCGGAUGGCGCCGGCGACCGGGGCUGCGGGGUGCGCGCGGGCUGCUCGGAGGCGCUGUGGCGGGCGAGGGCGCGGGUGGCUGGAGCACCCGGCCCGCGGCAAGGACCGGCUGGCGGCAGGCGGGGCGCGCGGAGCCCGGGGCUCGGCCGAGACGGAGCGAAAGAGAAACUCGGAACUGGCCCUUUAAGAAAACAUUCCGUGUUCGGCGCUCCCGCCCGGGGCCCGCACCCCGGACACUUUAAAAGGACCCAGGUGGCCCCGGAGGCGAGGUGACUAUCCCCCCACCCUGCCCCUGCGUCGCGGCGCGUCGCGCUGCUGCUCCCGCCCCAGCCGGGGCCGAAGAUGGGGCGGCGGCUGCGGUUUUCCACACGACUUCCUUGGAUCUCGGGGCACACGCGCCGAUAGUUCGGACGCGAGUCCGGGCUGGUUUUGCUCCGUUUUACUGCGUUUGAUUACUAAUUUAAAAGCUUUGCGUUCCCCGUCGCCCCGGCCCGCUUUUCUCCUGCAUUCUCCCCUCGGCCCCCGUCCCCGCCCUGCGAUCGCUGGAGGGGGCGUCGGGGCUCGCGCGCCAGAACCCGGCUCCUCCGAAGCCCCCUCCGGGCCCCACCGCCCCCCUCGCGCCUCCCGGCCCCCGCCUCCUCCCCUUCGCCCCCACCCAACGGCUGCUGCUUCGGGCUUCGCGGCUCAAAAACAACAGCGGAGGCGCCGCCAGCUCCGCGCUCCGCCACUGCCCAGGCCGGCGGGCGGCACUCGGACCCGCCGCCCUCGGUCCCUCGCGAGGCCACGGAGGCCAACACGCCUCGCACGGGGGGACAGCGCGGGGGCAGCCGUCCAAACACCAGGCGUCCUCGGCUGGUCGUCCCAGGGCGCCCGCACCUCUCCGCCCGCGCUCUCCUGCCGCCGCGCCCCCAAGCCCCCAAACUCCGAGGCGCUGCGGCGGAGGGGCCGGGCUGAGCGCAGGCAGGGUGGCCCGGGCCCAGGAGCCUGACGGCCUGAGUGCGGAUUUCUCAUCUGAGUAUCUGGGAAUCGAGAAUGAAUUGGAAGGAAACCGAGGCGCUGCCCUGGCCAGGUUGCUGCCCCGCACCCUUCCGGAGCACCGAAGUCCUGCCCGGCAACGGGACUUGGAGCUGCCGCAGAGUCAGCCUGAGCCCGAGGCAGGGGUCGCGCCCGCGAUGCGGGGUCUCUGCGCCGCCCCGCGAGGCUCCUGGCCUUGCCCUCCCUGCCCUUUGUUGUGUAAUAAGACCUGUGGCGGCUCCACUGAGACCCACACGUGCAACUCCGCGCCUCCGCGUUAAAGGAGGUGAAACGCAGCAGCCCUGAGAAACCCCGAGACCCCGGUGUCCUAGCAGAGGCGCCCCGGAUGGGGAGGGGCGCGGGGCCGGCGCCACCCCAGAGGAAAAGCCCAGCGGAGCCGGGUUGGGCAGGAGCUGGCGGCGGCGGUGCGCUGGGCCUUCUGCCUUGGAUCCUCCGCGGUCGGCACCGCUUCCCUGCUCAGAUUCGAACCCAGAUUCGGCUCCCAAGGCUCCCACGGCUCCAGGGUGCCCAGUCUUGCAGCCAGCUCGCCGCCCGAGCCCCGGAUGGAGGAAGCGCUCACUGGCCGCUACCUCUGCUGUUUCUGGCACCAGAGAUUGAGACUGUGAACCUGAACUCCCUUGAUCUCCUCCCGUUGGGCCCAGGAGGGAGCCGAAUCCAGGCCCAACCGGGCUCACUGAGAAGGUGCAGGAAGCCCCCAACGACUCCUACUCGUGUGCGGCCCAUACUGGGCCAGGACGCUGCAGUGGCCGAGCCGCUGGGUGUCUGCAACGGGGAGCUCCCCCGCCGCUGGGGGCAAUAAACGGAAUCGGUUUCACACGCUUUCCCUCUUGAUCUAAGAACCUUUAAAAAUCCGCCAACGAAUGCUGUUGCCUGGAUGCGCUGCCUAUGACCUUCAGCCGUGUGUUCACGCGCGCCCGCAGCCGUGGAGUGGCGGUCCCUCCUGCCGCCCGCAACCCCGGGGCCGCCGGUCUGCGCACACCGGGAGCAACUUCGUUACCCACAGCGCCCGCGUCCUGCGGCUCGCGCGGAACUGCGCGCGGGAAGGUGGCAGAGCGACGCUCCAGAACGCUGCUUGCGUAGACGCUGCCGCUGCCUUCAGAUCCCAAUUCGGCCGCGCGCGGGCGGGGCCCUGGCAGCAACGAAAAUGGCGAGCCUCGUAGCCUUCCGGGCCCGGCGGCCACAUUCCGGGAGUCGCCAGGAGGCGCUGCAAGGCUCCGUGCUCCUGGAGCUUCGAGUCUAUGGUAUGAGUUAAACAGAAGGGUAUCUCCUCCAUCAGAUCUACAGGAGGGUGUCUGCUCCAUCAGACCUGGAGCUUCCAAGGCAUUUUACCCGAAGCUCCAGCACCUGGCCCAAGGCUGGGCUGUGCUGUGUCCUCAGUGAAAGAAUGGAUGAGUCACAGCUGAAUGACUGAAGAGCUGAACCAAUGGGAAAACUGAUGCUCAGAGGCUUGAGCAACCUAGGCCAGGACCUGUCCUUAGAGGCAGAAGCAGGACUCAGAGGAAGAGCACCCUGACCACAAAGCCCCAGGGUCCAGAAAGACUCAGCCACUGGAGUCUGUAUUUCCUGAGUCGCCUCUCACUGCUGGAGCUGUUUAUCAUCGCUCCAACUUUCACUAAAAAGGAAAAACUAUCACUUAAACAAAGCCAUUGAAACCCCAGCAUCAUGUGUGGAUUUUUUAACAUAAAUAAAUCAUACAAACUAAGAUUUAUGUUCUUGGAAUGAUGUCAUUCAUUGAAGGCUGCCUUCCCAAUCAAAGCCGUGUUUAGUGAUUUUUCUUUAGUGGGUGUGCUUUUUGCUAAAUAGGAAAAACCCGUUCGGUCAUCCUUGCUGCUGUCUUUUCUCGGUUUGGCCCAGAACAUCAGAAAGGUUUCUCCCUGGGCCAGUCCACAGAGCCAAAUGGUGAAAAUGGUUUUAACUCCACAGACUGCUUUUAAAGCCUUUGCUUUGGAACCGUUAAGUCUGAGAUCAAAAGACUGUUAAACCUUCCCUAAGAAUGUGUGCAGGCCUCAGCAGAAGUUUAUGGUCCUCCCAGGUCUCCCAGAGCCUAGAAUGAAUCUCGCUGCAGAGUAACGCAUCUGCAGAAGCUUCACCAAAUUGAAAUGAGUGAGGAGCAUUAAAAUCAGCACACGUGGAUAAAUAACAGGUGGCAUAUCCAUGCAAUGGAAUACUAUGUCGCCAUGAAAAGGAAUGAAGAGCUGACGCUUGUUACAGCAUGAAUGAACCUGGAAAACAUGACGCUCCGUGAAAGAAGUCAGUCAUAAAAGGUCACGCUUUGUGUGAUUCCAUUUAUACGAGAUGUCCAGGAUGGGCCAAUCCAUAGAGACUGAAGACAUAUUAGUGGUUGCCUGGCUGUAGAAGUAGAGGCAGUAGUACUCUGGGCCAAUGAAGGCCCUGGGAACAGAUGGGCCACACCAGAGUCCAGCUUCAGCCCUCCAGGCAUUGAAAGGAGACCAUUAGCUGGAAGCCAGUGGGAAGUCGGGCUGACUAAUAGGGACAGGUGUCCAGGAGGCUGCAGUGUGAGGCUUUCAUUUGUUCAAGCAACACACAUUCACUGCACUCUUACCGUGUGCCAGGGACAGCCAUAGGCCCUGAGACUACAGCAGUGAUGGAGACAGACGCUGCUCCCAUCAAGGUCAUGUUUUGAUGGGGAAAGCAGCAAUAAGCCAAAUACAUAUGGGUCUGGGGUGCCAGGCUAGACGAUUCUAGUGCAAUGGACAUGAAAGAGGAGAGAGGUGAAGGCACAGUCUUCAAUCGGUUGUUCAAGAAAGGCCUCACUGAAGUGGUGACAUUUGGGCAGAGACGUCAGGGAGGGAUGAGGGAGCCACCCAAGUGUCUGGGAGAACAGCACUGGGGCAGAUGGAACAGCCAGUGCAAAGGCCCUGAGGCUCCAGUGACCAGUGUGGCUGCUGCAGAAGGACGGGGAGGGGAGGAGGGGAAAACCGUGUAGAGUGGCAGUGGGAGGACAGAUUAAGGCUGCAGGUGGAAUUAAAGUUGCUCUUUCAGCUGACUUUAAAGUAGGGAGACGAUUCCAGAUUAUCUGGGUGGCCUUAAUGUCAUCACGAGGAUCCUUAAAAGUGGAAGAGGGAGGCAGGAGAGUCAGGAUUAGGAUGAAGUGGAGAUAUGUGAGAAUAUGAGGAAGAUUCCCCUGGCUGUGCUGGCUCUGAAGACAGAGGAAGGGCCCACGAACCAAGUUACGUGAAUACGGACAGACUCUAGAAGCUAAAAAAGGCAAGGAAAUGGAUUCUAGAGCCUCCAGCAAGGAAGGCAGCCCUAUGCAUGCCUUGACUUUAGGACACUGAGAUCCAUUUCGGACUUCUGACCCACAAAACCAAAAUCUAGUAAGUGUGUGCUAUUUGAAGCUGCUAAAUUUGUAGUAAUUUGUUACAGCAGCCACCAGAAAUUAAUAUGGGGAGGAAAUAGGGAUUUCAUCUGUCCAUAGUAAAGACAUGCCGGGGGUGAUAAGAAUCUGAGCCCAUCUCACCUAGAUGAGAACGAGAGAGUAAUGACCACAGAAUAGUGGUGAUGGCCAUCCUCACAUCUGGCUCCUUAGCCACCCAUGCCAGUAUGGACUGACUGCCUUCUACGUCUUGUCCAUGGCCAUUCUCUAGGGAAAUUCCCUUGCAUCUCCUGCUACCUUUACAGACUACAUAUUUUGUUGGAUUACUUUCUCAUUUUCAUGAAGCAUAUCUUCUAGUAACUUCUGAUAAAAGAUGCAUAGGAGAUAAAUAUUUUAGGACUUCCACAGUACCAGAAUGAUGGAUGAACUGGGUAUAGAAUUCCAGAUUGGAGAUGAUUUUUUUGUUCAGAAUUUUAGAGAAUAUUGCCCCAUUGUCUUCUUGCUACCAGGCAGCUAUUGAGAAGUCUAGGAAGAUUCUGUUUCCUCGGACUUUGUGUGCAGUGUGAUUUUUCCUUUUUGGAAUUUUAUAGAAUCUUCUUUGUCCCAAGUGGUCCCAUAUUCCACAAUGAUGUGCCCUAGAAUGUGUCUGUUUUUAUCCACUGUGAGUUCUUUCCAACUGAGAACUUGUGUCCAUUAGCUCUGGGAAAUUUUCUUGAAAUACUUUCUUAGUGAUUUCUACUCUCUGUUUUGUUUCUUCUUCAUUUUUGAAACUUGAUAUUUAUAUGAGCUUUCUUCUGCACAUAUAAUCUGUGUGUCCACCAAAUGGCUUUGCUCUGUUUGUUUCAAUCUGUCUUUCCUGAGGCAUCUGCUGAUUCUUGGCUUUCUGCCCAUGAUGAGGAGCUGACUGGAAGUUCUGACAGUAAGAGAGGAGGGGUUCAUUGCCCUUGAGACCCAUGAAUGGGAGUGAUCCUUGAUCCUUGGAUGUCAGUAUCUUUAGGAACUGACCUGAUUCCCAGAGAAGUUACCCAGGGAGCAAGGGAGGGUCUGGCUGCCAGUCUUCUUGGAGUCAACUUGGAGUUGAAGGCAGGGGUCUUUGCAGUCAGCUGCCUGAAUUCUGGGAAAUAAACCUCUGGACUUUUGCUGGUGUGGGGGAGGGGUGGUCGCUCAGGGAGGAUAAGGAGGGGAUAGGAAUCCCCCUUUACUAAGCCAUCCUGAUCGUAGCCGCUCUUGCACCCCAAGUCCUAGAGGUACCCUUUUUUUUUGACGGAGUUUCACUCUUAUUGCCCAGGCUGGAGUGCAAUGGUGCGAUCUUGACUCACUGCAGCCUCUGCCUCCUGGGUUCAAAAAUUCUUCUGCCUCAGCCUCUAGAGUAGAUGCGAUUACGGGUGCCCACCACCAGGCCUGGCUAAUUUUUUUUGUAUUUUUAGUAGAGACAGGGUUUCACCAUGUUGGUCAGGCUGGUCUUGAACUCCUGACCUCAGGUGAUCCGCCCACCUUGGCCUCCCAAAAUGCUGGGAUUAUAGGCGUGAGCCACCACGCCUGGCCCCUAGAGGUAAUCUUAUACUCAGUCUUGAGUGUUAGGAUUCCCCUUGGUUAUAAAUCUGGUAAAAUCUCACCUUCCUGCUCUCUAUUCAGGAUUUUCUCUUGUCUCUGAUCCAAUUGCCACAGGUCCAUCAGCAAUUCAGCUUUCAGAAGGGAGGCCCACCCUUAUGGGUAGAUGCCUUUUGAAAUCUCUUUAUUGUGGUUGAAGUGGGGCUUACAGAGGGGACGCUAUUGAAUGGGUGUGUGUUUAGUUUGCCAUCUUAACCCGAGGCUUUUGUGGCUAUUUUAGAAAGACUGUGUCCAUUCUUAGGUCUAGGCCCGAUACCACACACAGUGUCCACACACAGGGGCUCUGACCCCACAGGGUUCUUUGGGUCCUGAUCAAUGAUCUUUCAAGAGCCUCCCCCUUGACCUGCUUCUGGCCACAGAAACAGCUGAUAAAUGAAAUUUGUUAGUUUCCUACAAUGGAGUGUUGCAUCAGCAGUGAACAUAGUGACAAGAGUGCAUGCUUAUCACCACGCUGACAUGUCCCUGAGACAUGGGGGCGACCUUUAAGAAUGUCAGCUGAAAUAUUAACAGCGGUUUUCCCUGGGUGAUUAGAUCUGAUAAUAUUAAAACUUUUUUCUCUGUUAUGUUUCUCUGCAUUUAAUUUUUCUCCACUGACUGUAUAUUAGUGGUGGAAGUGUUACAAUGUUUAAAAAUAAGAACAUCAAAAAAUUAGCCCAGGGUGGUGGUGGCAUGUUCCUGUGGUCCCAGCUACUCAGGAGGCUGAGGCAGGAGGAUCUCCUGAGCGCAGGAGGUAGAGGUUGCAGUGAGCCAAGAUCUCACCACUGCACCCCAGCCUGGGUGACAGAGUGAGAUCCUGUCUCAAAAAAUAAAAAUAAAAAUGAGAAGAAAAUCCUAUCUGUCCUUCAAUAACCAGCUCAGCCACUGCUACCUCCCGGGAGUCUCCCGUAUUCCCACUGUUGGGAAUGCUUCCUGCACCACAUUAAAUAAACUGC
rnacentral:lncRNA from 1 species